GAUGAACGCUAGCGGGAGGCUUAAUACAUGCAAGUCGAGCGGCAAGGUCUUCGGACCCUAGAGCGGCGCACGGGUGAGUAACGCGUACGCAAUCUGCCCUUCAGUGAGGAAUAGCCCUGGGAAACUGGGAUUAAUACCUCAUAAUAUUAUUUAAUCGCAUGGUUAGAUAAUUAAAGUUCUGGCGCUGAAGGAUGAGCGUGCGUCUGAUUAGCUAGUUGGUAGGGUAACGGCCUACCAAGGCUACGAUCAGUAGGGGGCGUGAGAGCGUGACCCCCCACACGGGUACUGAGACACGGACCCGACUCCUACGGGAGGCAGCAGUAAGGAAUAUUGGGCAAUGGAGGCAACUCUGACCCAGCCAUCCCGCGUGAAGGGUUAAGGCCCUAUGGGUUGUAAACUUCUUUUGUUUGGGAAGAAAUCUGGACAUUUAUGUGCAGUUGACGGUACCUUACGAAUAAGCACCGGCUAACUCCGUGCCAGCAGCCGCGGUAACAC
rnacentral:rRNA from 1 species